AGUCGAACGGAAAGGCCCUGCUUGCAGGGUACUCGAGUGGCGAACGGGUGAGUAACACGUGGGUGAUCUGCCCUGCACUUCGGGAUAAGCUUGGGAAACUGGGUCUAAUACCGGAUAGGAACCAUCUUUAGUGUGGUGGUUGGAAAGUUUUUUCGGUGUAGGAUGAGCUCGCGGCCUAUCAGCUUGUUGGUGGGGUAAUGGCCUACCAAGGCGGCGACGGGUAGCCGGCCUGAGAGGGUGUACGGCCACAUUGGGACUGAGAUACGGCCCAGACUCCUACGGGAGGCAGCAGUGGGGAAUAUUGCACAAUGGGCGCAAGCCUGAUGCAGCGACGCCGCGUGGGGGAUGAAGGCCUUCGGGUUGUAAACUCCUUUCGCUAGGGACGAAGCUUUUUGUGACGGUACCUAGAUAAGAAGCACCGGCUAACUACGUGCCAGCAGCCGCGGUAAUACGUAGGGUGCGAGCGUUGUCCGGAAUUACUGGGCGUAAAGGGCUCGUAGGUGGUUUGUCGCGUCGUCUGUGAAAUUCUGGGGCUUAACUCCGGGCGUGCAGGCGAUACGGGCAUAACUUGAGUGCUGUAGGGGUAACUGGAAUUCCUGGUGUAGCGGUGAAAUGCGCAGAUAUCAGGAGGGACACCGAUGGCGAAGGCAGGUUACUGGGC
rnacentral:rRNA from 1 species